UACGUAUGGUGCAAGCGUUAUCCGGAUUUACUGGGCGUAAAGCGCGCGUAGGCUGUUGUGUAAGUUGGGGGUGAAAUCCCACGGCUCAACCGUGGAACAGCCCUUGAUACUGCGCGACUUGAAUCCGGGAGAGGGUGGCGGAAUUCCAGGUGUAGGAGUGAAAUCCGUAGAUAUCUGGAGGAACAUCAGUGGCGAAGGCGGCCACCUGGACCGGUAUUGACGCUGAGGCGCGAAAGCGUGGGGAGCAAACAGG
rnacentral:rRNA from 1 species